rnacentral:rRNA from 1 species
AGUGAACGCUGGCGGUAGGCCUAACACAUGCAAGUCGAACGGCAGCACAGUAAGAGCUUGCUCUUACGGGUGGCGAGUGGCGGACGGGUGAGGAAUACAUCGGAAUCUACUUUUUCGUGGGGGAUAACGUAGGGAAACUUACGCUAAUACCGCAUACGACCUACGGGUGAAAGCAGGGGAUCUUCGGACCUUGCGCGAUUGAAUGAGCCGAUGUCGGAUUAGCUAGUUGGCGGGGUAAAGGCCCACCAAGGCGACGAUCCGUAGCUGGUCUGAGAGGAUGAUCAGCCACAAUGGUACUGAGGCAGGGUCCAGACGCGAACGGGGGGCAACAGGGGGGAAUAUUAGACAGUGGGCGCAAGCCUGAUACAACGAUACCGCGUGUGUGAAGAAGGCCUUCGGGUUAUGAACCGCUGUCGCCUGUGACGAAGCGUGAGUGACGGUAAUGAGUAAAGAAGCACCGGCUAACUACGUG